AGAGUUUGAUCCUGGCUCAGAACGAACGCUGGCGGCGUGGAUAAGACAUGCAAGUCGAACGGGAGUUUAUUUAUAGCAAUAUGAGUGAACUCUAGUGGCGAAAGGGUGCGUAACACGUGGCUACCUACCUCGAAGUUGGGGAUAGCUCGGCGAAAGCCGGAUUAAUACCGAAUGUGACCGUAAGGUCAAAGUUGGGGAUCGUAAGACCUGACGCUUUGAGAUGGGGCUGCGGCCUAUCAGGUAGUUGGCGGGGUAAUGGCCCACCAAGCCUAAGACGGGUAGCUGGUCUGAGAGGACGACCAGCCACACUGGAACUGAGACACGGUCCAGACACCUACGGGUGGCAGCAGUCGAGGAUUUUUCUCAAUGGGGGAAACCCUGAAGGAGCGACGCCGCGUGAGGGAUGAAGGUCUUCGGAUUGUAAACCUCUGUCAUCUGGGAACAAUGUAAUCUACCUAACACGUGGAUUAUUGAUAGUACCGGAAGAGGAAGCAGUGGCUAACUCUGUGCCAGCAGCCGCGGUAAUACAGAGACUGCAAGCGUUGUUCGGAUUCAUUGGGCGUAAAGGGUGCGCAGGCGGUGUGCUAAGUCGGAUGUGAAAUCUCACAGCCUAACUGUGAUAGGUCAUUCGAAACUGGCAUGCUAGAGGACUGGAGAGGAGACUGGAAUGGUCGGUGUAGCGGUGAAAUGCGUAGAGAUCGACCAGAACACCGGUGGCGAAGGCGGGUCUCUGGACAGUUCCUGACGCUCAGGCACGAAAGCCAGGGGAGCAAACGGGAUUAGAUACCCCAGUAGUCC
rnacentral:rRNA from 1 species